ACGGGACCAGGGGCGUGGUAGGGAGCCGUGGACUCGAGUUUUUAUCGUCCUCUGGCGCCGACACUCGGCUGCGGAAUCGAGUUUGAGCUCGGUGUAGCUGAAGUUUAAAUUGUAGCUGUUUCAAAGAUGCCUUGGGAUUCUGAGGAACCCCAGAUUCAGCACCCCUGCUUAACCUGCUUUUAAGAAGAAAAAAAUGGAACUUGGUAAACUUCACUCGAAGGAGAGACCCACUAAUACCUCCACCCACCUCACACCCAGUGAAGGUCUGGCUGUCCCUCUUUCUUCAUCUGUUCAGGCUGCUGUAACAAAAUGCUGACGCUGAGAGAAUGUAUGUGUGCUCCAGGAAUGACUGGAUGAAACAAAAAAGAGAGUCUGGAUACCAUUAAAGUGUUCGACUCUUGGAUUCCUACAGUUUGAGAUGGGAAGCAGAACUGGGUGAAACUGUAGAUCUCCUAGAGAGUGGAGCUAGCUCCCAUCCUUCCAAAUGCAGCAAUGACAUUAAGGACAUUUGUUCACAUGGAUCACAGUUGGUGUUGGAAAGUCGUCCUACCUGGACAUUGCUGUCAGAGCCAUGGACUAAAUUACUCAGUUCUGGCCUAAGUAAAGCAAGCUCUCAGUGUCAAAGACUUUUUUUUUGAGAUAUAGUCUUGCUCUGUUGCCCAGGCUGGAAUGUAAUGGUGUGAUCUCAGCUUACUGCAACCUCCGCCUCCCAUAUUCAAGCAAUUCUCCCACCUCAGCCUCCUGA
rnacentral:lncRNA from 1 species